AGAUAAUGGAGCUGAAAAUUCCAAGCUUCUAAUGCUGACUUAACUUGUGACCAGCCCUCAACCAGGAGCCACCCCAGAGCCUACCCAGAAUUACCUCAUUAGAACACAGCAUCACCCUAGAAGUCCUAACUUCCAGUCCUAAUGCAGUAAGACAAGAAAAAGAAAUAAAAGAUACAGAUUGGAGGUUGUGAUUCUCCUCUACUUUGCAACCCUUAGAAAAAGGUGGUAGUAUACAGAAGCGUGGCUUUGCUGCAUUUACUUUUGCAUAAACAAAAGGGUAGUGGCAAAAUUGUGAGCUGAAAACAAAAAAAUC